GGCUGUAGCAGAAAAAGAAGUGCACCACGAUAUGAUUUUUUCUUCACCAAUGAUUUUAUUACAGUCUUAUAAACUCAAAAAGCAGGUUCUCAAAAAAAAUGUUUAAUUCCAGAAAUUGUUGGCUCCUCAGAGGUGUACAUCCUUAAACAUAGAUAUUACAUUACGCCUCAUAGAAAAGUUAAGCUAAUUCAUUUCUUGAGACCUAAAGGCGAAAUAUGAAUAAGAAUCAACUGUACAUAUAUUCUACGUAAUAUAACGG
rnacentral:lncRNA from 1 species